ensembl:lncRNA
AUUCGUUUUCUCUUUAUUUAGAAUUAGGGAUCAGUUAGAUAUCUCUAACACACUCCCUCUGCCCUCCCAAGAAAAGGAAAAAGAUCAAACAACCAACCUCAAACCUCAUCUUCGACACACAUUUCUAUUUAGGUAACUGAUAUUCUGAUUUUUUUAUUUUAUUUUUUCAGAGAACAUUUUUAAGCUAUAGUCUCUGCCACUGCCUUCUGUUGAACUCUGCCACUGCUCUUCCUUGCAAGCCCUUUGAGAUCUAUUAAAUUUUCAUCUUCUAUCCAUAUUCUGCUGUGAUUGCUUUUGGCACAGAUCCUUCACUAACGUGGUCAAGAAAUGCACGCAGGCUAGGAAAAAGACAUGGAUGAUCUAAAAUUCCUUUUCCAGGUUAUUUCCUGGCCUCCCUUCCGUGACCUAUGACCGAUGAUGACCUUUAGCUAGAGAAUGUGACAUUUUGUUCUCCUCUGGCUGACAUGUGAUGCCCUCAUUAUUCAAAGGUUUACUGAUAUCAUACCAGAAUGCUGGAAAGCAUGAGAGAAGGAUUUCCUGGAUACCAUCUCUGUUCAAACAAGGAUAAAGUGCAGCCAAAGAAGGAAAGACAAACAAAAGAUUUAAAGCGUUGCUAGAGAAGGAAAGAACUAGAUGAGAAACCACAAUCUGGAUGUAAUUAAGAGGAAUUCAGCACUGCUCUUCUCUGUGAUGCCACUCAUUACCUGUGCAAGACCUUUUCAACAUAGAAGCAGAAGACAAACACUUGCAAAGGGAAAACAACUCCCUGUAACUACAUACUGCAUCUCUCACCACGCUUUUUAAUCUCUAACACACUAGGAGCAUGUGCCAGAUAGCAUGUGUACCUUUCAGAGAUAACCUGGAGUUACACAGCCACCAGCUCAAGCAACAUGAACUUCAGCCUCACACGGCCUGUUCCAAUUUGCCCACGCUAAGCCUUCAUGUUCCCACAGCAAAUGCCAGUGCCUUGAGUUUGCUGGAUACAGAUACUCCAAGGGACUGCUUAGUUUUACAGGAUCCUGCAGCACUUCCAGAACUGCUGAGAACCUGGGCCAUAUCUGUCAGCUGAGAUGGCAGAAGAAGAAAUCCCCAUUGUACAGCUUGUAAAUGAAGAGGUCUUGCUGGACUAGAUAACUGUACAGAGUGAAGGAAAUACUUGAUGAAGACUCCACAAAUUCCUCAUUAUUUCUUUGUUUCACCUGCCUCAUGAAUAUUUGCAUGAACAGAUUUUGGCUCACACUGGGAGAUACCCUCUCAUAUAAAUAUCUAUGGUAACAUAGCAACAAGGGAUUUGGUGCAUAAAACUACUUUUUUUAACUGAUGUCUCUUAGUUUCUAAAAUGAUCAUUUCUAAAAUGAAUUUGAAACCUAAAUUCAUUUUCUCUCAAACAUUUUCAACCAUGAUUCUGCACAAGUGUUAUUAUGGCUUCACUCUUUAGUUACAAAUGUUUUGAAAAUAAUUUAUAUUUGACUUGAUAUUGAAACAGUGCCAUUUGUAAGAUGAUCUUCAGGUGGUCAUUCUAUGGCAUGCUGUUUUCUACCAUUUGUAUUUUAAAAUUAAUCAUGAAAUCCUUCCACCAUAGAUUAAAUAAAAUAUCAUAAAGUAUAAAAACAAGGGCUGUACCUGAGGCUUGAAAGUUGCUAUUCCUGACAGCACUUCAUCUUUUUCAUACCCAUAUUGGCUUUUAUCCCGGCCCAUCUAUUCCUUAAUGUAACUGUUAUAAAUUGAUGUAAAGUGCCAUAAAAUAUAAUAAACAUGAAUCAAUAUUUCUUGGUUAAAAAACUUAGAAAUGCUGAUGAAGCUCAAGUUUAUUAUAGAUGUCCUGAACCCACAAUGUGCCUUUAUUUUUUUUUUACCUUCAUCAUUUUUUCAGGUCUUGAGUUCAUGUGUGCAUACACACUCACUCUUCACAAAUCAAAGAGGCAGUGAAAAUUAAAA